AUUGAACGCUGGCGGUAUGCUUAACACAUGCAAGUCGAACGGAAACGAUACUAGCUUGCUAGUAGGCGUCGAGUGGCGGACGGGUGAGUAACGCGUAGGAAUCUGCCUGAUAGUGGGGGAUAGCCCGGAGAAAUUCGGAUUAAUACCGCAUAAUCUAUUCGUAGUAAAGUGGGGGACUUUCGAGCCUCACGCUAUCAGAUGAGCCUGCGUAAGAUUAGCUUGUUGGUAGGGUAAAAGCCUACCAAGGCGACGAUCUUUAGCUGGUCUGAGAGGAUGAUCAGCCACAUCGGGACUGAGACACGGCCCGAACUCCUACGGGAGGCAGCAGUGGGGAAUAUUGGACAAUGGGGGCAACCCUGAUCCAGCAAUACCGCGUGUGUGAAGAAGGCCUGAGGGUUGUAAAGCACUUUCAAUUGUGAAGAAAAGUUAACGGUUAAUAACCGUUAGCCUUGACGUUAACUUUAGAAGAAGCACCGGCUAACUCCGUGCCAGCAGCCGCGGUAAUACGGAGGGUGCAAGCGUUAAUCGGAAUUACUGGGCGUAAAGCGUGCGUAGGCGGUUUAUUAAGUCAGAUGUGAAAGCCCCGGGCUUAACCUGGGAACUGCAUUUGAAACUGGUAAACUAGAGUAUGGUAGAGGAAAGUGGAAUUUCUGGUGUAGCGGUGAAAUGCGUAGAUAUCAGAAGGAACAUCAAUGGCGAAGGCAGCUUUCUGGACCAAUACUGACGCU
rnacentral:rRNA from 1 species